GAUUGGGGGAUGUGGGUGCAGGGUGCGGGAUGGGGAUGUGGGAUGUGGAGUGCACGGUGCGGGAUGCGAGGUGCUGGCUGAUAUAGGUACAGUCGGGAUGCUGGAAAGGCUUGGUCCAAAGGGCCUGGUCAGUUUUAAUGCUAAUAUUAACCUGGUGUGGUUUAAACUGCUGUUUUAACAGGAUUUUCUUAUACUCCAGCAAAGAAAAAAUUAAAUUUCCAACAGUUCAGUAGUCGUACUUUCCAUGCUCGCUGUCUUCUGGAGCUGUGCUCCUUCCCACCACGGUGCCCAUGCUGGGGCAGGCUGUGUAUUCCUGCUGCCUAUGUCCAUGUUGGCUGUGCUGUCUGUGCAGCUGGACAUAAACAGAUCAGGCACCAGGAACAGCGCAGCUUUCUGCCACCCCCUUUCAAUUCUGUCAAAAUUAUUGUUAAUAUUUUGCUUUCACUGCCUCACAGUUGAGAAUGGGAUUGCUUUUUUCUUGGCUUACUCUUAUCAUUGUCUACCUUUACAUUCCCAUAUAAGAAGUUCAAAUUUCGAUUUGCUCCAUCCUUUUCGUAUUCUGUCUUUUGGGAAAAAUUCUAACAGCCUCUCUGCCCACUGUGGAUAAAAAUAGAGCUUUUCACUUUCUUAAAAUUGAAAGUUGGUUAUAAUUUCUAGUACCAAUGUGUCAAAUACACAGCUAGCAUAAUACUGCCAUUCCUAUACUAGAAAAUAUUAAAGGAAAAAAAGUUGCUUUUAGGGGAGACCUAGGCACAGUGAAAUAUUCUUAGCAGUAUCUGAAGGGCUCUCACCAACCAAGUAGAAAACAUUUCAGGCUGGUACACUGCUGUUCUAGAACGUGGUUAUUGACACUGCUGGUCACAACAGACGGAUCCAGGGAGACAUAUGGGAUUUGAAGACUCUUCUUGUCUGAAAGAAUGCCUCCUGAAGCCUGUAUUUGCUCCGAAGCUUGUGCAGUCAGAAUCAGUUACUGCCAAGUUACCAGUAAAGCUGCUGUUGCAUUUAGGUGACAAAGCUAAACUCUAUGGAUCUGAAGCUGUUCAGAUUACAGCUAGAAACUCAAAUCCACUGCCACUGCUAUAUGAGGACUGUUUUCUACCUUUCAGAUUGUUUGGAUUACUAUUAACAGAAUUUUCUACAUUUUUAAAUCAUAUUCUUUAUCAGACUACUACAAUAUGAGAGAUUGUUCUGACGAACUACAGACAGAAGCUUAAUGCUUUGAAAAGCAUUAACAUGAGCAGGACACUAAAAAAUAAAUUCCUCCAGCAUUGUGGUGGAAAACUUAAGCAGGAGAUGUUUGUUCUUCCCAUCAAGAUUGGAUUAAUGUGUUUGUCAAGUCUUUGUUUUGAUGUUCUUAUCUUCCAGCAAUUUUACAGGGCUCGCUUAAGAAGUGUAAUGAAGUGUUAUAUCUUGCUAACAAAAAUAAAUAUGAGUAAGGAAAUUAAAAACUAGAUAAAUUUAGCUGGGGUACACUUUGAUAAUACUGCUGUCAGCAGCCACACACCCAACCCACAAAGCUGUCCUUCUCCAUGGAAGAUUUUUUCAUUGGCACAAAGCAUAAUACAUUUUGUUUAGUUUUUUUGCAAAUGAGACAAAUUCAUGGUUCUGUGAACUCGCAGAAUUAGUAGAAAACAGGAUUAAUGAGGUGCAUGAUAGAAAUGAAGCUGCUAAGGAUUUUGUUAUGGAGGAAUGUAUACUUACUGAAUGUUUACUUUUUUUUUUAAAAGUAUGAACUGGAAUUGAAUACAUUAAUUUACAGUAGACUUUCAAAGCUUAUUUUGAUUAGGUCCAAAAUAUGAUCAGUGAAAACAUGAUAUUUGGGGCUUAACUAUGAAAAAGCCUGUAAAUAUUCUGAAGAAUGUUCUUACUAUCUUUGUUUAGCUGUUUGUUUAUGAACUAAAAAUAGGAGGAGAAGAAUAAACAUUUCUAGAUACACAACCAGGGGAAAUGAUCAAAGGGGAAAAGAACAAAGAAAAUAAGGGUAGAUAAUACUAACAAGUAAGACUGGGUAGGUCUGGACACAUAGCCAAGAGCCAUAAAGGAACAGAUGGAAGAAGCAACACACAGAGAAACAAAACAGGGUUAAGACUGAUAUGCAAAUCCCCUGUGAAUAUAUUUAUAUCUUUGGCCUUUACACAACUCUGUAAUUUCAAUUAGCCAUCUACUCCUCUCUUACUGUGUUACUGAUAAAAGUAGGACAUGCCCAUCCUUUCACAGCUUUAAUGUAAAGAAAUACUGAAAAUAAAAGGUUGGGAGUAGGGAUAUGCCAAGAAAACAGCAGAAGGCAAAUAUUAUGGAGGUACCUGUAAGCAACCUUUGCAACUGCAUUAUGUAUUCUUUAUGUAUUCUGUUUCCAAGAAGCAGAUGUAACAUUUGACAACUUAGUUUAAUAUGUAAACACCAAAACUAGACAAGAAAAGCGUGAAAAUCCAGAAUAUUUCAAGCAGUAUGGUUUACCUAGGUAGAAGCUUGCCAUUAGGGGAUGAAGUAAGAGCUCUUUUUCUGGUUCUGCCUGUUGCUGUAGCUGUUAUGUGAACAGCAGAACUGUAAACAAUCUUAUCAAGCAUAAACUUGCAUUUCUUAGUGUUUACAAGGUAAGCUACAACACACACACACCCCCAGUUGUGGCAGAGAAAGACAUUUUUUGGGUAAAAUGGUUACUGAAGAGAUUAUUAAAAGCAAAAGUCUAGCAUAUGUACAGUACUUUAGGGCAUGUUGGAAACAAUUCUAAAUUGUUCAUAUCCAGUUUUAAUAUAUUCCAGAAUUUUGAGUUCGUGUGUAUUACCUGAUGCAGUGACCCAGUACAAAGAGUGGCUGCUGGAGACCCUGAAUGCAGCAGAACAUGUCUGGCAGGCAGUGUUCCAGACAUCUGGGUGAAUGUGAAACAGGAUUUCAAACCAUGCCCCUA